GACGAACGCUGGCGGCGUGCCUAAUACAUGCAAGUAGAACGCUGAAGAGAGGAGCUUGCUCUUCUUGGAUGAGUUGCGAACGGGUGAGUAACGCGUAGGUAACCUGCCUUGUAGCGGGGGAUAACUAUUGGAAACGAUAGCUAAUACCGCAUAACAAUGGAUGACACAUGUCAUUUAUUUGAAAGGGGCAAUUGCUCCACUACAAGAUGGACCUGCGUUGUAUUAGCUAGUAGGUGAGGUAACGGCUCACCUAGGCGACGAUACAUAGCCGACCUGAGAGGGUGAUCGGCCACACUGGGACUGAGACGCGGCCCAGACUCCUACGGGAGGCAGCAGUAGGGAAUCUUCGGCAAUGGGGGCAACCCUGACCGAGCAACGCCGCGUGAGUGAAGAAGGUUUUCGGAUCGUAAAGCUCUGUUGUAAGUCAAGAACGAGUGUGAGAGUGGAAAGUUCACACUGUGACGGUAGCUUACCAGAAAGGGACGGCUAACUACGUG
rnacentral:rRNA from 1 species